rnacentral:pre_miRNA from 1 species
AAUAAGAUCAUUUUCAGUUUCUAGAUACAAUUCUUGGACUCUUCGUCUUAUUUAAAUUUUUUUUUGCGAUUAAUAUUUUCAUUGUUACUAGACGAUAAAACAGGAAUAGUCCUUUAUGUGUGACCAAUUUUUUAAAGUUUUGUAUAAAUUUUUUAAAUAAGACGAAUGGUCAAAGCGUUGGAUACAAAAAUCGAAAAAUGAUGUUAUU